rnacentral:lncRNA from 8 species
GAAUCAACAUAAUUUUUAUAGAUAUAUACAAAGAAAUGUCAAUAGAAAAACACGAAAUGCAGCUAGUUUGCUGUCAUUCCAGCUUCAGAUUGAAUUUAUUGUGUUUGUUGUGUAGUUGACUAUCUCUUCUGGACACUGGAACAUUGUUAUGGAUGUAUAAAACAAACUAGAAAACAACUUGGAAAUGCAGCUACUUUGCUGUUAUUCUGACUGCAGUGUUUGACGUGACUGUGUUAGCCAAAGUUGGCUAGCUAGCAAGCAAGGGAUAAGAACGUUGCCAGCUAUGGUGGCAACAGAAGAUUUAGAUCGAACGACUGGGUCACGGCCAUAGAUUUAGAACACAAAGACUUAAUGACUGGGUCGGGUCUCUGGCAACCGAACCGAUAGAACGAACGACCAGCCGGCUUUGAUAGCAACCCUAGAUUUAUGUCGGGACUAUAUCUCAUGGAAGGAUGAAAUAUUAAGAAUAUUUUCAGCAAAAUAUAGUUUUUAUUGAAAAUAUGUCAAUCAUUAUUUGAAUAUGUUGGUAACCCAUUGUAUUAAAGUGAUAAUGCUCUUGAAGCCGGUGUUUGGAGGACAUACAGUUUACACUCGUGCCAAUAUAUCCUCCAAACACCGCAUUAUCACUUCAGUAAACUGUAGUAUUUUUUUAUGUGGGCCGAUUGACAGAAUGGAACAAAGUAUUUACAUAUUGUCGACCACAGACUAACCUUUCAUGUUUGCAAAGAUACAUGGAUCGAAGAGAGCAAACAGCUUGCCCUUGCCUUUCUAAGAGACCCCCAAAAUAGUGUGCCAUUGAGACGUAACACAUUCAUAUUUGAUGUUCUGUGAACACUAACAAACUAGCUCUCCCUGUUGUCUGAUCCAGGCUGGCACUGUAGAGAUUGAUUGCUGUGACUUCAGGCCUGUAUUUCAGUAACUCUGCCUAUUUCCCUCUGACAACGUUCUAUAAACUGCUUCCUCGGGUAAAUCUGGUGGCUCACUCCAUCUGUCUCUGUCAGGGGGACACAGAAACACACACACGCACAUAGAGUACACACACACACACACACACACACACACACACACACACACACACACACACACACACACACACACACACACACUACCCUACUACUACAACCACAGCAACCAAAAUUCAGUAAGCAUGCCACACCUUCUCCAGCUAACAGCAUCAUUCAUAACCCCCCUCUUCCAUCCUCCAGGGGAGCCAGCCUUGUAUGUGGAUGAAGGCUCUGAGUGGACACAGGGAGCCGCACUAAACCCAAUACCAUCCUCUCCAUCUGUCUGCAGCAUGGGUCAUGGAACCUUUACACUCUGCUCUGGCGUUCUCACUCGAUGAUGGUGGCUGCUGGUGUUCCUAUCCUGGGAGGUUACAGAGGCAUGGCAGGGGCCUGCAGAGGUCGGGCCAAAGGCCCAUUACUUCACGA